rnacentral:rRNA from 1 species
CGCUGGCGGCGUGCCUAACACAUGCAAGUCGAACGAGCGCAAGGAGCUUGCUCCUGUUGCGAGUGGCGGACGGGUGAGUAACGCGUGAGGAACCUGCCCUUGAGAGGGGGAUAACGUCCGGAAACGGACGCUAAUACCGCAUAACAUGUUUAAAUCGCAUGGUUUGAACAUCAAAGGAGCAAUCCGCUGAAGGAUGGCCUCGCGUCUGAUUAGAUAGUUGGUGAGGUAACGGCUCACCAAGUCGACGAUCAGUAGCCGGACUGAGAGGUUGAUCGGCCACAUUGGGACUGAGACACGGCCCAGACUCCUACGGGAGGCAGCAGUGAGGGAUAUUGCACAAUGGGGGAAACCCUGAAUGCAGCAACGCCGCGUGAAGGAAGACGGUUUUCGGAUUGUAAACUUCUGUUUUGGGUGACGAUAAUGACGGUAGCCCGAUAGAAAGCCACGGCUAACUACGUGCCAGCCGCUGC